rnacentral:snoRNA from 1 species
AUGGAGAUGAUGAUUAUUUCCCCAGAUGAUCGACACUGAAAUAACUGAGCUAAUUUAAUUCUCAUUUAUGAGAAUUCAAGCCAGAUUUCUGAUCCGU